rnacentral:rRNA from 1 species
UACGUAGGGUGCGAGCGUUAUUCGGAAUUACUGGGCGUAAAGAGUGCGUAGGCGGCUUUUUGUGUCCGCUGUGAAAGCCCCGGGCUUAACCUGGGAAUGGCAGUGGAAACUAGAGAACUUGAAUCUGGCAGAGGGGGGUGGAAUGCCACGUGUAGCAGUGAAAUGCGUAGAUAUGUGGCGGAACACCGAUGGCGAAGGCAGCCCCCUGGGCUGAGAUUGACGCUCAGGCACGAAAGCGUGGGGAGCAAACAGG